CCUACGGGCGGCAGCAGUGGGGAAUAUUGGACAAUGGGCGAAAGCCUGAUCCAGCAAUGCCGCGUGAGUGAUGAAGGCCUUAGGGUUGUAAAGCUCUUUUACCAGGGAUGAUAAUGACAGUACCUGGAGAAUAAGCUCCGGCUAACUCCGUGCCAGCAGCCGCGGUAAUACGGAGGGAGCUAGCGUUGUUCGGAAUUACUGGGCGUAAAGCGCGCGUAGGCGGUUACUCAAGUCAGAGGUGAAAGCCCGGGGCUCAACCCCGGAACUGCCUUUGGAACUAGGUAACUAGAAUCUUGGAGAGGUCAGUGGAAUUCCGAGUGUAGAGGUGAAAUUCGUAGAUAUUCGGAAGAACACCAGUGGCGAAGGCGACUGACUGGGCAAGUAUUGACGCUGAGGUGCGAAAGCGUGGGGAGCAAACAGGAUUAGAUACCCCGGUAGUC
rnacentral:rRNA from 1 species